rnacentral:rRNA from 1 species
GUGGGGAAUUUUGGACAAUGGGCGCAAGCCUGAUCCAGCAAUGCCGCGUGCAGGAAGAAGGCCUUCGGGUUGUAAACUGCUUUUGUACGGAACGAAACGGUCCUGGUUAAUACCUGGGGCUAAUGACGGUACCGUAAGAAUAAGCACCGGCUAACUACGUGCCAGCAGCCGCGGUAAUACGUAGGGUGCGAGCGUUAAUCGGAAUUACUGGGCGUAAAGCGUGCGCAGGCGGUGCUGUAAGACAGGCGUGAAAUCCCCGGGCUCAACCGGGGAAUUGCGCUUGUGACUGCAGUGCUGGAGUACGGCAGAGGGGGAUGGAAUUCCGCGUGUAGCAGUGAAAUGCGUAGAUAUGCGGAGGAACACCGAUGGCGAAGGCAGUCCCCUGGGCCUGUACUGACGCUCAUGCACGAAAGCGUGGGGAGCAAACAGGAUUAGAUACCCGGGUAGUCC